AACCAUUUCGGUUCGGCUGUAGCUAGCAGCCAGGUGUGGGGUAGUCAGCCCCGUAUAGAUCUAUACACUCAAGUCACGCUCUCUAAAUCCCAGAGAUUCUGGUUACGGGUGUAGUCCUCCACUCGUGUAUAUAUGUGGAGUGUUUGCCGAGGACGUGUCUCCAAUCAUACAGGAAUAACAAAUUUACUAGUAAUAAUUUGAUAAUCCUCCAUUCGCGUAUCUAUGUGGAAUGUUACCGAGGACGAGACAACGUACAAUUUAUAUUAUUCAUGUAUUCUAAUGUCAUGCUUUUAACUGAUAAAAUGUGGAAAACCAUUUGUGAAAUAUAUAACAUAACAGUUUAUAAAAUCCCAUUUCACAAAUAAAUGUUUAUGUGAUCUACAUGUUCUACUGGUUAUCAGUUGUGUAUAUCAGUAUUAAAAGCAUAUGAAAUGUGAAACACACACAUGAAAAUAAGUUUUGAGUACAAGAAAACCCUUGUACUUUGCUUGUGUUCCCCCCCCCCUUGAAAACAGUGAAAAACAGUGAAAAAGGUAGGGGUAUGAACUCACCAGACUCAGAAUCGCAACUGUUUCGGAUACUAAGCGUGGGUUCGGGGCUUGAUUACUCAUGAUGUCCCUAUGUAAAAUGAAAUAAUGUCCAUAUAUAUUUAAUUAGGGAUACAUUCACUAAUUAAAUAUAACAUUACACUCCGACGAGAUUAAACACCUCAAAACGAGCGUUUGGAGUGACCCGGGUGACAUCUACGGACAUGUAUUGGCACUAGGGACUUGGGACUUNNNNCGGAAUGCCCCAUGCUUUCCUGUAUGUUGAUUUUAGUUGUGAAAGAUGUAUUCUGUUAGACCUAGUUAUGUAUAAGGUUUCCCAGGAAGGUCCCAUACCUUCCUGAAUGUUGGAUAUCAUUGUAAAAGAUGUAAAAGAUGUAAAAGAUGUAAAAGAUGUAACCGAAACCUGGUUAUAUGUAAAAUGUAAUAAGUGGUUCAUUAUUACUAUAAGUAAAUCUCUGUUAUCCUAAUUGCGAGUUCCAUAACCAUACUAAAGACUGAACCUGUGGCAAUAAGUAGUCCACAACCUUAUGACUUUCGUCACCCUUGAACCAUUUCGGUUCGGCUGUAGCUAGCAGCCAGGUGUGGGGUAGUCAGCCCCGUAUAGAUCUAUACACUCAAGUCACGCUCUCUAAAUCCCAUAGAUUCUGGUUACGGGUGUAGUCCUCCACUCGCGUAUCUCUGUGGAGUGUUUGCCGAGGACGUGUCUCCAAUCAUACAGGAAUAACAAAUUUACUAGUAAUAAUUUGAUAAUCCUCCAUUCGCGUAUCUAUGUGGAAUGUUACCGAGGACAAGAUAGUGUACAAUUUAUAUUAUUCAUGUAUUCUAAUGUCAUGCUUUUAACUGAUAAAAUGUGGAAAACCAUUUGUGAAAUAUAUAACAUAACAGUUUAUAAAAUCCAUUUUCACAAAUAAAUGUUUAUGUG
rnacentral:lncRNA from 1 species